rnacentral:lncRNA from 1 species
UCUCAAAGCCCUGACAACAGGACUGUUCACCUUUAUACCAAGAAGUUUGGAGAAGCACCUAAAUCCACACGUGGUGUGUGCCCAGGCAGACUACAAGGGGUUCGUGCUGUGAGACCUAAAGUCCUUAUGAUUAUCUAACACCAAAAAAAGCAUGCCCGCUGGGUCUAUGGUGGUUCUGUGUAAGCCGAGUUAAGUCUGUGACAGGAUCUAGAGGGCUUUCCUUAUUGAGGUGCAGAAAAAUGUUAUGAGAGUGUUGAAGGCACAAGCACAGAUUCAGGCAGCAAAAUAA